GCUGAGUUGGCUUAGUUGGUAGAGCACCCGCUUAGUAAGCGGGAGGUAGUCGGUUCAACCCCGGCAGAAAGCU
rnacentral:tRNA from 1 species